rnacentral:lncRNA from 1 species
CUCAGGCUGUUGCUUCCGACAGAAAACCUGACAUCGGACCCUGCAUGCUCUGCGAUGCUCUUGAAUGUGUUUCGUGCAGAGGCCCACUCUGGCUCCGCCUGCACUCCAGCGAGUAGGGAACCGGCCAGAUCGCCUGGAAUCCAGCUGGGAAUUGGAAAGAAUCCUGAUUCAUCGGAGGGCCUGGGCUGCCAAGAAAAUUCUCUUGAAGGCUUUCUUUUCUUCAGCGGCUGCUUCCCAGGGUUUCCUGCAGUGUCAUUUGACAAUGUCGUGGAUGGACGGAGCAUGACCCCAUCAAGGAAGGGUGAAGCCAGGCGGUACAGGCUUGCCGAGAGGACAGAGUCAACCAAAAGGCGGGAAGGCUUUCUCAUAAAUUAAGGAAGGGGAUGCAGCAUCGCGUGUUGCAGGAGACGUCCCGCUUGCCUGAUGCCCGGCAGGGCCUGACCUUGGACCUAACCCGACGAGAUGAUGAGGCAAGAGCCAAGGGCCGGUCGUUCCGGCUGGCUUCCUCCAACCCAAUGCACACCAUGGUCGAGGUGGUGCGGAGUAAGGACUGCAGGCUGUCCCAGGCCACCUUCCCUGGCAUCCUGCCAGCCGUCACCCCGGUGGUCGACAAAGCCACUGGCCUCUGUCUGGCGUGCGUCUCCGCGUCAGCACAGCCGUCCCGGACCCGGGCCAGGCCUCUCGGUCUCCUGAACCUGAUCGCACAAUGGUUCUCCUGCUAUUGCCCGCAUUAAACAAAAAAAAAAAAAGUGUAUCUAUAGCAUAACAACCUUGAGUACGUUCUUGAGAAAGUCAAUGCCCUCCUGAGCCCUCUGCCCAACUCAAGGGUCUCCUCCUGGGCCCCUCCCCUCCCUGCCUCUCUGCGGCACCCAACCUCUCCUGCUCGCCCGCUUGCCUGUUCUCAGCUGGCUUCUAUCUAAUCAAGUGAGAGGCCGUGGAGUUAGCUUCUCCCUGGCUCCCUGGCACACCCUCGAGCACCCCGAUCUUCCCGCCGGCUGCCUGUCUCCCUCUACGCCCCCGCCAGCCUGGGUUCUGGGGACACUCCUCCUUUGGCCAGGACCCCAGCUGCUUCCAUCCGUCCUGCGACCCCUCUUGUGGCACGCUUCGGCCACUUGCCGGCCUCUGGGCCACGACCCGAGCACUCCCGGCCCCUUCCCCCAACUUCAGGAAACCGGCCAUCCCUUGACAGGUGCCACGAACUGGCUUUUUUAAAGAAAAUUAUUACUUUAAAAGCAAUAUCAGAAAGGGGUGUCUGGGCUGUGGGAUGGUGGACCACGGGCUCUUUUCCUCUUUCUACUUGUUAUUAAAGAAAGUGAAUCCUGUUUCUGACAUU